GUCCUAAGGCGAGGCCGAAAGGCGUAGUCGAUGGACAGUAGGUUAAUAUUCCUACGCACAUAUAAAGAUCAAAGCAUAAUGCGGAUUUCCAAGCUCUUCUGGACUGUUAGACGUCCAGGCCUUCGGGCCGUUGAAGGGGGAGGGAGUUCCUAGAAAAGUUAUGUGGGCGAUAUAUGUCCCGUACUAAAACUGACACAGGUAGACGAGGCGAAUAGCCUCAGGCGCUCGAGAGAAUGGUCGUGAAGGAAUUAGGCAAAAUCACUCCGUAAGUUCGCGAGAAGGAGGCCCUUCGGGGCGCAGAGAAAAGGCCCUGGCAACUGUUUAUCAAAAACACAGCACUGUGCUAACUCGCAAGAGGAUGUAUACAGUGUGACGCUUGCCCAAUGCCCGAAUGUCACGGAAGUGGGUUAUCUUCGGAGAAGCUCACAACUUAAGCACGGGUCAAUGGCGGCCGUAACUAUGACGGUCCUAAGGUAGCGAAGUUCCUUGUCGGGUAAGUUCCGACGCGCAUGAAUAGCGUAAUGACUGGGGCACUGUCUCCACGACCAACUCGGUGAAAUAGUAGUGGCGGUGUAGAU
rnacentral:rRNA from 1 species